UGGGGAAUUGUUCGCAAUGGGCGCAAGCCUGACGACGCAACGCCGCGUGGAGGAUGAAGGUCUUCGGAUUGUAAACUCCUGUUGAUUGGGACGAACAUCCAUCGGGCUAACACCCCGGAGGACUGACGGUACCGAUUGAGGAAGCCCCGGCUAACUCUGUGCCAGCAGCCGCGGUAAUACAGAGGGGGCAAGCGUUGUUCGGAAUUACUGGGCGUAAAGGGCGCGUAGGCGGCCGCCUAAGUCAGACGUGAAAUCCCUCGGCUCAACCGGGGAACUGCGUCUGAUACUGGGUGGCUUGAAUCCGGGAGAGGGAUGUGGAAUUCCAGGUGUAACGGUGAAAUGCGUAGAUAUCUGGAGGAACACCGGUGGCGAAGGCGGCAUCCUGGACCGGUAUUGACGCUGAGGCGCGAAAGCCAGGGGAGCAAACGGG
rnacentral:rRNA from 1 species